CGUAGGACCGGUUUUGUCAACACAAUCCGGAAUGGCCAGCAUGGCGGCGGUCGUACGAUACCUCAGUAGAGGUAAAGCGAGGGGUUGUCUGGACUUGGGAGAGAAACAGCUGUGGCGUAGAAUUUCCUUUUGCAGCAGAGCAAGUCAGCAUCAACGAGGCACAGUCCUGAUGCAUCAUCAAAGGCAUAGUCUUUCCAAGAUGGCUUAUCAGGAAGCUCUUUAUCCUUGUUCUGGAUACAUUCAGGUGCCCAAUAGACAUUUUGCUGCUGCUGUGAAGUCUACAAAGAAAACAAAAAAAGGUACAAAACAAAAGGCAUUAGAUGAGAAUAAAGAAGAGAUAAAAAAAAUAAAGUCAUAUCCCUUUAUGGAAGGUGAACCUGAGGAUGAUGUCUACUUAAAACGCUUGUAUCCAAGGCAGAUAUAUGAGGUGGAGAAAGCUAUUCAAUUACUUAGAGAAUUUCAAAUUCUGGACUUUACUAAUCCAAAACAAGGUGUUUAUAUUGAUUUGACACUGGAUAUGGCACUGGAGAAGAAGAAAAUUGUGGAGCCAUUUGCCAGUGUUGUUAGUUUUCCAUAUCCGUUUGCUUCAGAAAUCAAUAAAGUUGCUGUAUUUACAGAGAAUGCAUCCGAGAUUAAAAUAGCAGAAGAAAACGGAGCUGCAUUUGCAGGAGGAGCUAAUCUGAUUCAGAAGAUUUUAGAUGAUGAAAUUCAAUCGGAGUUUUAUGUAGCUGUUCCAGAAAUAAUGCCUGUGCUUAAUCCAUUAAAGAAGAAAUUGAAAAAAAGAUUUCCAAAGCUUUCGCAGAAAUCCAUUGGCCGUGACAUCCCUAAAAUGCUUGAAUUAUUUAAAACUGGACAUGAAAUUAAGGUAGAUGAAGAAAGGGGGAACUUUCUCGAGACCAAAAUAGGAACAAUAUUUACCCAGGAGAAAUGGAAACAUAUACCCAUACAAACAACUUGUGAGCAAAUGCUUGUAUCAGAUUUAUCUGUAAUAGCAGAAACAUUCCACAUGUCCAUCAACAGCUGGAUAUGUCUAAUGACCAGAUAGCUGCCAAUCUGCAAGUAGUUAUCGAUGAAGUUUGUAAGCAUAGGCCGCUUAAUUUGGGACCCUUUGUGGUACGUGCUUUCCUUCGUAGUUCAACAAGUGAAGGUUUGUUACUGAAGAUUGAACCAUUAUUGCCCAAAGAGUAACAGAGAAGCUUUCUAACAGUGUUGCCUUGUGAAAUUGUCAGAAGAUUAAGAAGCAACAGAAAAAAUUAUAAAAGCAUUUAAUUUCUGCAUUUGGUGUUUUCGUAUUUCUUCAUCAUCAUACUUGAAAGUGAGUUUUAACACUGGAAAACCUCACAACACUUUCAAAAAUAAGAAAAUAAAAUUUUCUCUGUGUCUGAA